ACCAUCUCCCCCGUGUCCCUCGCAGAUCGUGCGCCUCUCCCUACAUUUGCUCGGCACAGCAAGGUGGAGUCGCGCCCCGCCCCUGCCCUCGUUCCUCGCCGCGCCGGGUGUGGCAUGCGGCCGUUGAGGUAGAUCAGCGAGGAAUGCGGCGGGUGGCACAAGUCCAAGCCGAGGCUUUUCACAACCCUAUCACGCUCUCCAUUGACUUCUUUGAUUGAUUUCUUCAGAUCUCCCAUCGCAGGCACAUUCUGCUUGGCAGCACGGUUGGUCGGCUCCUUGAUGUGGCGACGUCGUGCCCAGCGACACGACGUCCCUGACGCGGCGACGUUCUGCCCAGCGACACGGCUGCACGGCGGGUACGUUCUACCCAGCGACACGGCGGCAUGGCAAGGUUUUCCUUUCAAUAAAUGUUACGAGUACUCAGUGGUACCUUGCUGUUAUAAACGCUGACAAACAUGAGGUCUAGGUGCUAGACUCUUUGGGAGAUAUGUUCGGACGUGCUGACCUGAAAAAAAUUUGAAUUGGGUUGCGGAAACAAAUAGAUUUCGUAUUCAAGGAGGGAAAAGGCCUGAAAGAGCACAAAUGGCCAGAUGUAAAAGUUGAUGAUUGGCCGGUUAAGGAGAUUUUCCGUGGCAAAUUCUUACAAGAAGAUGAGUAUAUUAAAAUAUUGGCAGCAUAUACGUUGAAUUUUGUGUCCUUGCCUUUUUUUAUCUAAUGUGUAUUUAAACCUCAGUUACUAUUGUAUGUAGUUUUUCAUGUGGUUUAUUCUUAAUAAAUUUUAUGGAGUAUUGGACUGAGAAUGAAUUAUCGGACAAAUUUAAUCAGGAUGAUAUGAAAGCAUUUAGACUAAAGCUUGCGAAGAUCUUGCUAUCGUCAGCAGACAGCACAGCCAGUGACAGCUUCAGAGCCCAUCGAGCAGACCCGGACCGCUUCUCCAGCUCCAGCAGUUUCCGAGGGUCACUCUACCUCCUCCGAGUCGACGGCCGAUGGAUCAGACGAUGCAGCUCAGUUUCAGGCCAUGCCGAGGGACUCCACUGCUCCGCCUCCACCUCCUUCGUCUUAGGCUUUUGGCGCUUGAUGCCAAAGGGGGAGAGAGAACUGAGAGUAGGGAGAGCUAGAGCUAGCUAGUGAGAGCUAGAGCUAGAGAGGGCUUUUGAUUAUUUUGUGUGCUACUCCAUGCAUCAUGUUUACUUUUAUGCAUUUGUGUGAGAUACUCUUUAGCUCUGUGAGAUACUUUUGGUUGUGAGACAUGACUUUUGCUUAUUUGUGAUAUCUUUAUGUCAUGUGGUUGGAUCA